rnacentral:rRNA from 1 species
AGCCUGAACGCUGGCGGCGUGCUUAACACAUGCAAGUCGAGCGGUGAUCCUCCUUCGGGAGGUGAUCAGCGGCGAACGGGUGAGUAACACGUGGGCAACCUGCCCCUCACACUGGGAUAACCUCGGGAAACCGGGGCUAAUACCGGAUACGACCUCGAGCGGCAUCUCUUGAGGUGGAAAGCUCCGACGGUGAGGGAUGGGCCCGCGGCCUAUCAGCUUGUUGGUGGGGUAAUGGCCUACCAAGGCGACGACGGGUA